GGGGUUGUGGCUCAGUGGUAGUGUGCUUGUCUAGCAUGCAUGAGGCACUGAGUUCGAUUCUCAGCACCA
rnacentral:tRNA from 1 species